UUACCGUGCAAAGGUAGCAUAAUCAAUUGUUUUUUAAUUGAAGGCUUGAAUGAAUGGUUGUAUGAGAUAUAAACUAUUUUUAUUUUAAUAAAAUGAAUUUAAAAUUUUAGUAAAAAUGCUAAAAUUAAAAUAUUAGACGAGAAGACCCUAUAGAUCUUUAUUUAAAUUUUUAUUUAAAAAUAUUGAAUAAUUUAUUUUAAUUUAAAAUUUAAAUUUUAUUGGGGCGAUAAUGAAAUUUUAAAAACUUUUAUUUAAAAUAAUAAAAAUAAUUAAUUUUUUGAUCCAUUAAUAAUGAUUAAAAGUUUAAGUUACCUUAGGGAUAACAGCAUAAUUAUUUUAAAAAGUUCUUAUUAAUAAAAUAGAUUAUGACCUCGAUGUUCAAUUAAUAAGUGUAUCAAAGUGCGCCAAUCGAGUAGUCA
rnacentral:rRNA from 1 species